AUUGAACGCUGGCGGUAUGCCUAACACAUGCAAGUCGAACGGCAGCACAGUAAUAGCUUUCUCUUACGGUGGGCGAGUGGCGGGCGAUUCAUGGGUACAUCCGAAGCUGCGGGUGCGUGGGGGAUGACAGAGGGAAACUUACGGUAAUACCGCAGAGGGCCUACGGGUGAAAGCGAGGGAUCUUCCGACCUUGCGCGGUUGAAUGAGCCGAUGUCGGAUUAGCUAGUUGGUGGGGUAAAGGCUCACCAAGGCGACGAUCCGUAGCUGGUCUGAGAGGACGAUCAGCCACACUGGAACUGAGACACGGCCCAGACUCCUACGGGAGGCAGCAGUGGGGAAUUUUGGACAAUGGGGGCAACCCUGAUCCAGCCAUGCCGCGUGCGUGAAGAAGGCCUUCGGGUUGUAAACCGCUUUUGUUCGGAAAGAAAUCCUCUGGGCUAAUACCCCGGGGUUAUGACGGUACCGGAAGAAUAAGCACCGGCUAACUACGUG
rnacentral:rRNA from 1 species